GCAGGCUGCAACUCGCCUGCAUGAAGUUGGAAUCGCUAGUAAUCGCGGAUCAGCAUGCCGCGGUGAAUACGUUCCCGGGCCUUGUACACACCGCCCGUCACACCAUGAGAGUCGGGAACACCCGAAGUCCGUAGCCUAACCGCAAGGGGGGCGCGGCCGAAGGUGGGUUCGAUAAUUGGGGUGAAGUCGUAACAAGGUAAC
rnacentral:rRNA from 1 species